UGACUCCUCAUACUCCGAUGCCUCCUUAUCCCAUUUAAGUGAUUCUUCCCAAGAAAAUGAGCCCGACAAAUUUUCAAAAUAUUAGUCCCACUCGUAAAGAUACGAGUUUGUUGUCGAAUGACGGACCAUCGACGAGCGGAACUGGCCCCAGAAAACAGCUGAAAAGGAAUCAGAAAACACAACUUGCUAAGCACCAAGCAAGAAGAAGAGCAAGUCUUCCAAGUCCGAGAAUGUGUCUGCGAGAUCCAUUGAAACUAAUCAAGAGAUAAUGUACAUGUAACGUACAACCACCAUUUGAUUAGAUGCCUGUGAACAGCAUGACCAACAUCU